rnacentral:rRNA from 1 species
AUUCGCGGCCUAUCAGCUUGUUGGUGGGGUGAUGGCCUACCAAGGCGACGACGGGUAGCCGGCCUGAGAGGGUGUCCGGCCACACUGGGACUGAGAUACGGCCCAGACUCCUACGGGAGGCAGCAGUGGGGAAUAUUGCACAAUGGGCGCAAGCCUGAUGCAGCGACGCCGCGUGGGGGAUGACGGCCUUCGGGUUGUAAACCUCUUUCAGUAGGGACGAAGCGCAAGUGACGGUACCUACAGAAGAAGCACCGGCCAACUACGUGCCAGCAGCCGCGGUAAUACGUAGGGUGCGAGCGUUGUCCGGAAUUACUGGGCGUAAAGGGCUCGUAGGUGGUUGCGUAAGUCGGAUGUGAAAACUCAGGGCUUAACUCUGAGACGCCAUCCGAUACUGCGCUGACUUGAGUCCGGUAGGGGAGCAUGGAAUUCCUGGUGUAGCGGUGGAAUGCGCAGAUAUCAGGAGGAACACCAAUGGCGAAGGCAGUGCUCUGGGCCGGAACUGACGCCGAGGAGCGAAAGCAUGGGGAGCAAACAGGAUUAGAUACCCUGGUAGUCCAUGCCGUAAACGUUGGGCACUAGGUGUGGGGUCUUCUAACGAAUUCCGUGCCGUAGCUAACGCAUUAAGUGCCCCGCCUGGGGAGUACGGAAU